UUUGCCUACGGGGGCAGCAGUGGGGAAUAUUGCACAAUGGGGGGAACCCUGAUGCAGCGACGCCGCGUGAGUGAAGAAGUAUUUCGGUAUGUAAAGCUCUGUCAGCAGGGAAGAAGAAAGACGGUACCUGACCAAGAAGCCCCGGCUAACUACGUGCCAGCAGCCGCGGUAAUACGUAGGUGGCAAGCGUUGUCCGGAAUUACUGGGUGUAAAGGGAGCGCAGGCGGGAAGCCAAGU
rnacentral:rRNA from 1 species